rnacentral:tRNA from 1 species
GGGGUUGUGGCUCAGUUGGUAGAGCGCUUGCCUAACAUGUAUGAGGUACUGGGUUCAAUUCUCAGCACCA